CGGCGGACGGGUGAGUAACACGUGGAUAACCUACCUAUAAGACUGGGAUAACUUCGGGAAACCGGAGCUAAUACCGGAUAAUAUAUUGAACCGCAUGGUUCAAUAGUGAAAGACGGUUUUGCUGUCACUUAUAGAUGGAUCCGCGCCGCAUUAGCUAGUUGGUAGGGUAACGGCUUACCAAGGCACGAUGCGUAGCCGACCUGAGAGGGUGAUCGGCCACACUGGAACUGAGACACGGUCCAG
rnacentral:rRNA from 1 species